UGUAAACAUCCUACACUCAGCUAUUAUAAGUGGUGGGGCUGGGGGUUGGGUGUUUACU
rnacentral:pre_miRNA from 12 species